rnacentral:rRNA from 1 species
AACGAACGCUGGCGGCAUGCCUAACACAUGCAAGUCGAACGAGACCUUCGGGUCUAGUGGCGCACGGGUGCGUAACGCGGGGGAACCUGCCCUUAGGUUCGGAAUAACUCCCCGAAAGGGGUGCUAAUACCGGAUAAUGUCUUCGGACCAAAGAUUUCUCGCCUUUGGGUGGGCCCGCGUUGGAUUAGCUAGUUGGUAGGGUAAAAGCCUACCAAGGCGACGAUCCAUAGCUGGUCUGAGAGGAUGAUCAGCCACACUGGGACUGAGACACGGCCCAGACUCCUACGGGAGGCAGCAGUGGGGAAUAUUGGACAAUGGGCGAAAGCCUGAUCCAGCAAUGCCGCGUGAGUGAUGAAGGCCUUAGGGUUGUAAAGCUCUUUUACCCGGGAUGAUAAUGACAGUACCGGGAGAAUAAGCUCCGGCUAACUCCGUG